ensembl:rRNA 5S_rRNA 5S ribosomal RNA
AUCUAUGGCCAUACCACCCUGAAUGCGCCUGAUCUUGUCAGAUCUCGGAAGCAAAGCAGGGUUGGGCCUGGUUAGAACUUGGAUGGGAGACCCCUGGUAAUACCGGGUGCUGUAGCCU